CAAACAAGCAAGCAAGCUAACCAAAGUUUUGCUCCACAUGCAUAAGAAAUAAGCUGUAAUGAUUUUAUCAAUAUGUAUGUGCGACAAGGUGGAAAAUUUGAUAUGUUUUGUGAAAAUUGCAGCGUUGGAUCUAUAAUAAAAAAGAAGAUGUGGUAUGAUUGCCAAUGAGACAGCUGUCCACUAGAGACCAAAAUGACACAGAAAUGAACAUUUAUAGAUCACCGUACGGCUUUCAACAAUGAGCAAAGCCCAUACCGCAUAGUCAGCUAUAAAAGUCCCCGAUAUGACAAUGUAAAACAAUUCAAACGAGAAAACUAACGGCCUUAAUUAUAUAAAAAAAAAUGAACGAAAAACAAAUAUGUAACACAUAAACAAACGACAACCACUGAAAUACAGGCUCCUAUACAAUAUAUUUUUUUUGAUGGGAUAGAUUUCUUGUCCUUUUAUAUAUUUAAUUGGGCCGUUUUUUUUUUGUUUUUUUUUGUUUUUUUUUUUGUUUUUUUUUGUUUGGAUUGUUUUACACAAGUAAUUUUUGGGUCAUUAAUAGCUUACUUUUCAGCAUUGGACCUAUGACUGCUUACUUUAAUAAAUUAUGUCUUUGUUGGAAAGAUGUCUCAUUUGGCACUCAUACCGCAUCUUCUUAUUUCUAUAUACAAAGCACGUUAGAAAAAAAAUAAUAGGUAAUAUGGCACCCACUAUGAUCCAGAGACUUUUAAUAUUGGAGAUAUUUUACAUAUGUCAACAGGACAGCAGCUGAACGAUAAAAAAAAACAACUCUGAGGUAUAUUUUGUGAUAAAAUUAGCAACAAACGGAUAUUAUCGAUGGAUGAAUUUAAACUAUAAAAAAUGUAUUGAGCUAUAUACCGUACCCGCUCAGUGGCGGAUCCAGGGGCGGGGGUUCCGGGGGAUGGACCCCCUUUUUUAGGACGAUCAGUGCAUUUGGAUGGGGACAUGUAGUUGGAACCCCUCCCCUUUUGUCCAGGGUUAGGACCCCCC
rnacentral:lncRNA from 1 species